CAACCACUCAAUUUCCGAACGAACUUUGUAUGAACCUCAAUUGUCCAAUUUCAUGGACCAAUCAAUGUCGGAUUGAGUCCAAAACUUGGGCAACAUCAUAGUAAGAUGGGAAGUCAUUUGGUGCUCCUUGAGUGAAAUCCAAUAUCUAAAACUGUGCAAAACACAAACCACUCCAUUUCUGAACGAACUUCGUACGAACUUGAAUUAUCCAAUUUCACGGACCAAUCGAUAUCGGAUUGAGUCCAAAACUUGGGAAACAUCAUAAUAUGGGGGGAGGAGUCAGUUGGUGAGUUUUGAGUGAAAUCCAAUCUCUAAAACUAUGCAAUAC
rnacentral:lncRNA from 1 species